CCUACGGGAGGCAGCAGUAGGGAAUUUUCGUCAAUGGGCGCAAGCCUGAACGAGCAAUGCCGCGUGAACGAGGAAGGUCUUCGGAUCGUAAAGUUCUGUUGAAGGGGAAAAAGAGCGGAGAGAGGAAAUGGUCUCCGAUUGAUAUUACCCUUCGAGGAAGUCACGGCUAACUACGUGCCAGCAGCCGCGGUAAUACGUAGGUGGCGAGCGUUAUCCGGAAUGAUUGGGCGUAAGGGUGCGUAGGCGGCCUGCUAAGUCUGGAGUGAAAGGUACGGGCGCAAACGGUACAGGCUGUGGAAACGGGCGGGCGAGAGGGGAGGAGAGGGAGGUGGAACUCGAUGGGUAGCGGUAAAAUGCGUAGAUAGAGGGAAGAACACCGAUGGCGAAGGCGGCCGCCUGGCUUGUUACUGACGCUGAGGCACGAAAGCGUGGGGAGCAAAUAGGAUUAGAUACCCUAGUAGUC
rnacentral:rRNA from 1 species